CAGGUUAAUCAGGAAAAUGAGCUGGGCAGGAGGAGACUGGAUGUGCCCUGCAUGCCAACACAUAAAUUUCAAGAAAAGGGAAGCCUGCCAACAUUGCAGUUAUCCCAAGUAUGGUGGCCCUGAUCCAACCACAUUCACAUACAGGCGGCCAGGGGACUGGUAUUGCACAGCCAUGAACUGUGGAUCCCACAAUUAUGCAAGCAGGUCAAGCUGCUACAGAUGUGGUGCAAUGAAGAAUGAUUAUGGUAGUGGGUAUGGAGGAGAUAGCAUGUACGGAUCAGAUGGCAGUGCUCCGCCUGGAUGGAAAACUGGUGACUGGAUUUGUAGUAGAAUGGGAUGUGGAGAGCAUAAUUAUGCUAGCAGGACAGAAUGCUACAAAUGCAAAACACCCAGGGAUUACGGCAAGCUAUUUUACAGAACUAUUAUUCACCAUGCUUAAUUACUAUCUCUUUGCUUAAUUAUGAAAAUAAUUCCAUUAUUUUUGUGUUUUCAGGUGGAGUUUAACCAACAAAAAAGCAAUUACAAAGUCCAGCUUUCUUGCCUUUUGUUUGCAGAAGCCUAAUAACGAGCUUUAGAUUGUUUUCAAGAGCAUAGCCAUGUAUUUGAAUUUGGAACGGUUUCUGGCUUUGUGUAUGAUUAUUGAUGUUCUUACAUGAAGCUUAUAGUAUCCCUUCUUCUUCUUCUUUCUUUUUGUUUGUUCUCUUCCAUAAUUGGAUAUGGUAAAUGCUUUCCCGGGAUCCAUCGAAAUUACUCUUUCUUGGAGUGUGAGUUGAUGUUUAAUUGGUGUUGCAGUAGCUGCUUUUUAUGAGGA
rnacentral:misc_RNA from 1 species